CGACGUAGGUAACCUGCCUUGUAGCGGGGGAUAACUAUUGGAAACGAUAGCUAAUACCGCAUAACAAUGGAUGACACAUGUCAUUUAUUUUGAAAGGGGGCAAAUGCUCCACUACAAGAUGGACCUGCGUUGUAUUAGCUAGUAGGUGAGGUAACGGCUCACCUAGGCGACGAUACAUAGCCGACCUGAGAGGGUGAUCGGCCACACUGGGACUGAGACACGGCCCAG
rnacentral:rRNA from 1 species